AGCAGCCGCGGUAAUUCCAGCUCCAAUAGAGUAUAUUAAAGUUGUUGCAGUUAAAAAGCUCGUAGUUGAAUUUCGGGGUUAGUAGGUUGUGUCAUGCCUCUGGUAUGUACUGGUCUCACUGAUUCCUCCUUCCUGAUGAACCUUAAUGCCAUUAAUUUGGUGUUUUGGAGAAUUUGGACUGUUACUUUGAAAAAAUUAGAGUGUUUAAAGCAAGCUAACGCUUGAAUACAUNAGCAUGGAAUAAUGAAAUAGGACGUUCGAUCCUAUUUUGUUGGUUUCUAGGAUUGACGUAAUGAUUAAUAGGGAUAGUUGGGGGCAUUAGUAUUCAAUUGUCAGAGGUGAAAUUCUUGGAUUUAUUGAAGACUAACUACUGCGAAAGCAUUUGCCAAGGAUGUUUUCAUUAAUCAAGAACGAAAGUUAGGGGAUCGAAGACGAUCAGAUACCGUCGUAGUCUUAACCAUAAACUAUGCCGACUAGGGAUCGGAUGAUGUUAAUUUUUUAAUGACUCA
rnacentral:rRNA from 1 species